rnacentral:lncRNA from 1 species
UGUGCAUCCACUUAGCUAUAAAUGUCUCUAAUUUCUCGUUCUUUAUGGCUGAGUAGUACUCCAUUUUAUUAAAAAAAAAAUCUUUAUCCAGUCUCCAGUUACUGGGCAAUUGGGCUGUUUCCAAGUUUUAGCUAUUACAAACCGCCCCUAUAAACAUGGGUGCACAUAUAUCACUGUGGUGUGAUUCUUUUAAUUCUUCUGGGAAGAUACGUAGUAGAGGAAUACCUGGGACAAAUGAGACUUCCAAUCCUAGUUGUUUGAGGUAGCUCCAUAUAGAUGUCCACAGUGGUUGCACCAGUCUACACUCCCACGAACAAUGAAGAAGGGUUCGUUUCUCCCCACAACCUCAGCAGCACUUGUUAUUGGUUGAUAUCAUGAUAGCAGCCAUUCUUUCUGAAGUGAGGUGGAAUCAGCAUUGUUUUCAUCUCCAUCUCUCGAAUGACCAGUGAUGUUGAACAUUUUUUCAUAUAUUAAUUUGCUGCUUUUACUUCUUUGACAAAUGUCAAUUUCAAUUCCACCGCUCCCAGGGCAGAGGAGGUGAGCCAAUCCCAGCGCCCAAGAGGAGGCUCCCCAGUCGCCAUUCCACUGCUCCCAGGGCAGAGGAGGUGAGCCAAUCCCAGCACCCAAAAGGAGGCUCCCCAGCCCCCAUUCCACCACUCCCAGGGCAGAGGAGGUGAGCCAUGCAGGCACCAGCAGCACCUCGCCCCCAGCAUGGAAAUGAAAAGACAUGUAAACAAGCCUCAAACACAGACUUCCAUAUCACCUAGAGCAACCCCAAAGGGAAAUGAGAUGGAACACUCUGAUACUCAACCACCUGGACUCUCUGAACUGGCAACAAAAGAGGAUCUGGGAAAAAUGAAAUCAGAAAUAAUUACUCAGAUAACAACAAAGAUUGUGCCCAUAGUGCAAGACAUGAUUAAUAAAUCUAGAGAGGACACAUAAAAAAAAUAGAGGAUCUGAGGAACAUGAUGGAAUCCCAACAUAGAAACAAAUGGAAUCCAUAAAACAGAUGCAAACAGAUUUCCAGGAGAUUAAAACUCCAUCGAAAGUCUGCACAGCAGAAUGAACCAAUGUGAGGAUAGAAUUUCACAUAUACAAGAUAAGAUUGCAAAUAGUGACCACGAAAAGAAAAAUUGCUUUAAAAUAGUAAAGGAAAAUGAGAAAAUCAAUCCAGCAGCUGCUAGAUGAUGCAAAGAAGAAUAACAUAAGACUGAUCGGAGUCAAUGAAGAAAGAGGAGAGAGUGCAGAUGACAUUAAAAAAAACUGUUCACAGAAGUGAUGGCAGAAAACUUCUCAAGGAGGGGAAAAGAACUUGACAUACAGAUAAGUGAGGCAUAUAAGACUCCAGCUAGCCUUGAUCAAAAAAAUCUACACAUAGGCUUAUAAUAGGAUUCCAGAAAUCCAACAGAAGAACAAAAUUCUACAAGCAGUGAGAGAAAAGAAACAAAUCACAUACAAAGGAAAGCCCAUCAGAAUCACAGCAGACUUCUCAGUGCAAAUCCUGAAGGCAAGAAGAGCUUGGAGUGAUGUAUUUCAAGCCCUAAAGGAAAACAGCCUCCAGCCCAGAUUGAUGUACCCUGCAAAACUUCCUUUCAAAAUUGAUGGAGAAAUAAGAUACUUUCAUGAUAAAGAGCACCUCAGGAACUUCAUGAAUACCAAAUCAGCACUCUAAAAAAUUUUAGACAAUACCCUAGGAAAAGACAAUGAGGAUCACAACCCCAGGAAGCCCAGCAGAAUGAAUCUAUUGGGCGUGACAAACUCAAAGGGGGAGAAUCCAACAAAAAGAAAAGUCAUGACAAGGCUUUUGAAACUUUUAACUUCAUCUCCCUAAUGAGUGUAUAAUUCAGUGUUGUUAUUGUACUGAUUAGUAUUUUUCUGAUUCUAGAGUUGCACACCUUUCCUUGUGCUAUACUGGCUAUUUAUCAUUUUAUCAUCUUAUGUCUACAUUUUAAUUGGGUUGUCUAUUAAUGAGCUGUAAGAGUUCUUUAUAUAUUCUGGUCACAGGUUAUAUGCAUUGUAAAUACGAUCUGUUUAAG